GCCGUGGUAGCUCAGUUGGUAGAGCAAAGGACUGAAAAUCCUUGUGUCGGUGGUUCGAUUCCGCCUCACGGCA
rnacentral:tRNA from 1 species